UUAGCGUUUGAGGUGGAGUUCUGUUAUACACUCAGGCUGUGGGUCUCUGAAAGUCAGUGCAUCACAGAACUUUGUCUCGAAAGCUUCCCA
rnacentral:pre_miRNA from 1 species